rnacentral:lncRNA from 1 species
AUCUCUCUUCCCUGCAGAUCAAAGUACAUCAAAACUCUGCCUCUUCUUCUUCGUUCCAUCUGUAUCAUCUCUUCUCCAUCUUUUCUUUUCCAUUUUGAGCUAGGGUUCAAAAAACCCAAAAACAACCCUUCUGUAUCUCAGUUUGUCUAUGAAAUACAUACCCAAUCUUUGCUUAAAACUGCAAUUGUUAAAUUUUUGUUUCAAAAUUCAAAUGGAUUUCAAACACCCGCCUCUAUAUUCCCUCUUCAUUCAAAUGCCAACAACCCUAAUCAGAUUUCAAAAUCUCUGAAUCUUCAAUCUCCUAAUCUAUGAAUCUUCAAUCAUCUAUGAAUCUCCAAUCUUCAGAUCCUCUUCAUUGGUCCAAUUUCUUAUGUUUCAAAGAUUGGAGACAGUAAGGCUAUUGAGAUUCCGUAAUCAGGGUCGUUAGUGGCGGCCGGAAUCCAAAUCCCGAUUUACAAAUAUGGUUGAUAUUUCUUUUGAACUCCGGCAAAAAUCCAAAUCUCCGGCGAACCAGAUCUGAGUUAUGGUGAAAAUCCGAAUCUCUAGUAUAUGGUGAAAAAGCUUGAUAUAGAGGAAAGAAAAGUUCUGGAAAUGUGUGUCCAACUCUACAAGGAUUAUGGGACAACAAUGGCUGGUCUUCGGUUAUGAUCUUGAUUCUAAACUUUGAUCUUUGUGAAGUCUGAGCAAAGGUUUGUCGUUUCGUUUCUGUCAGCAUCAUGGGGAGGCCGUGCAACAAGUCAAAAUGGGUUCACGACUGUGAUCCCAAAAUAUAACUAUUUCAAGCAGCCAUGAGAGAGGUACAGAUCAUGGGAUCUAGCCAGGUACAUGUUUUAUGUAGCUGGUUUUUCUUUUAAAAUGACUCCCAACAUUCCAUCAUUUUGCUAAACUAUUCAUAUUUUUUCUAUAGACAAGAAAGAUUAGUUGUCCGAAUGUGUAAGUUUACCCUUUGCAUUUUUUUAUUACUUUAUCUUUAGUUUGCCAAUCAGUAAUCGUUUCUGUUCUUUUGAUGAAUGUGUUUUUUUCUAUUUCUUUUGAAGUAUACACGGAUCUAAAUAUGUUGAGUUGACUCGAACCACUUUUAUGUGCAUUUUCUGAAACUUUGAUGAAUAGUCAUUGCAUUAAAUAGUAUUUUAUAUUUUACUAAUUUCAAAUGUUUAAAUUGUUGUACCAAUUUGGUAUGCGCUCUUUCUUAGCUAUGCAUUUUAUAUUUGACGAGUUACGAAACCAAAAUAACUCAAAUCGGCUCAUUCCUAAUUACUAACUAUCAUGCAUCGAAAGUCACAUAAUGUAUCUACAUUGCUAAUAGCAAAGGUCAAAUUUAGAACACAAAUGCAAAGGCUUUAAAAUGAUUCUUCAUCAUAGGGUGUAAAACCGGUUAUACCAAAAAAGUAAGAACCAAAGGCUCUAAACCAAGUGAUUGCAGUGGAUUUGCUAAAAAUAUUAAUGGAAAUUAGAUUAGCUUUGCUUAUGAGUUGACUUUAUUGUAUAAUAUCUUUGUCGGGAAUUUUCCUACAUGACCCUGUUAGUUUUGUGGCACUAAUUCAACCCGAUCUUUUCAUCUUUAAGAAGAAGUUGUUAAUUAUGGACAGAAGACAACACCUAUGUGUGGGACACACUCUAAUGGACCAAAGGUUGAAAAGGUCAAAGUUUUAUAUUACAAGUCCUGCAUGGCAUGAACUCUGCUCGUCAUUGGCGUAGUUAACAGCUAUACUGGAUUCAAAAUGAUGAUAGAUUUCUUCGGUACAUAUCUCCAUGAUUAGAAGGAAAAUGAAACAAAUGAGAUCACUGUAUGAGCUUGACGCGCCCGCACCCGUUUACUAAUCCUAAAGUUCGAAGCACAUAGAGGAGCCCCUUACAAAUGAAGAAUUAUGAAUUGGAGAAAACUGGAUAAGGAACAAUGAUCCAGGUGGCAGAGAAGGCGUCCCUAUGCUGAAACGGUUAGUGAAUAACUAAUAUAUUAGCAAUUUUUACCCAUUUACUUUUAAGGAUCCAUUGAGUUAUAGUUAAUGAGUAAUGGGUCGGAUGAAAUUUAAAACUUAGCUAAUGUGAAAUGAUCGAACGAAAAGUGGUCCAACAUUUAUUUAAAUGGUUACAACAUCUCAUGUUGCUUUUAUUCAAUAAAAAAACAUAAAAUAGAUUA